rnacentral:sRNA from 1 species
CCCUCUGUCACGAUUCAACCCAAUCUAC